UACGAAGGGUGCAAGCGUUACUCGGAAUUACUGGGCGUAAAGCGUGCGCAGGCGGUUUUGUAAGACAGGUGUGAAAUCCCCGGGCUUAACCUGGGAACUGCAUUUGUGACUGCAAAGCUGGAGUGCGGCAGAGGGGGAUGGAAUUCCGCGUGUAGCAGUGAAAUGCGUAGAUAUGCGGAGGAACACCGAUGGCGAAGGCAAUCCCCUGGGCCUGCACUGACGCUCAUGCACGAAAGCGUGGGGAGCAAACAGG
rnacentral:rRNA from 1 species